rnacentral:rRNA from 1 species
AGAGUUUGAUCCUGGCUCAGGACGAACGCUGGCGGCAGGCCUAACACAUGCAAGUCGAACGCACCCCUCGGGGUGAGUGGCGCACGGGUGAGUAACACGUGGGAACGUACCUUGGAGUACGGAAUAAUCCUUGGAAACGAGGACUAAUACCGUAUACGCCCUUCGGGGGAAAGAUUGAUCGCUCCAAGAUCGGCCCGCGUCCGAUUAGCUCGUUGGCGGGGUAAUGGCCCACCAAGGCGACGAUCGGUAGCUGGUCGGAGAGGAUGAUCAGCCACACUGGGACUGAGACACGGCCCAGACUCCUACGGGAGGCAGCAGUGGGGAAUAUUGCGCAAUGGGGGAAACCCUGACGCAGCCAUGCCGCGUGAGUGAAGAAGGCCUUCGGGUUGUAAAGCUCUUUCGGGUGUGAAGAUGAUGACGGUAGC